GACAUUAUACAUGUUCAGAUCCUCU
rnacentral:snRNA from 1 species